UGUGUGGGAACGGCUUAGCUUCGUUCCGACACAUUGGUUAUGUUUUCUCUCAUCUCCGCCUGCCAAGUAGUUGCGGUGUUGUGCUCUACAGUAUGAGGGGGGAAAUUGAACUAAAAUAGGGUCUAAUUGGCUUUUCAGAUUUCAUCAUUUCAAGGCAUGGCAAGGUUUUUGCCCACUGGACAGAGCAGUCCAAAGCUCUACUGAGAGGUGACCUGCCUACUGUCUACAGGCUCCCAAGACUCCGGAAACGGACGUUUUCGGAAGUCGUCCAGGAACAUAACGAGGGCUUAAAACCAGAGGGGGGAGGUUCCUUUACAUUACUUGAUGACCACUAUACCCACUACAGCAAAGAUGGCAAAACGUCCAAGAGAAGCCCGCAGGUCUGCCAAUGAAAGAUUGGUGGACUUCAUCACAAAGCUGAAGAGGUCGGACAAACGGCUACUGGAAAUAAUCACAGGUGAAGGCAGCUCCAAGUGGCUGGUGAAUUUCAGGUCUACGAAACCAGACGGGGUCUUCACCUACCUGGAAGAAGACGACCAAAUUGAUGAAGUUUUUAAGCAUAUCAACUUGGUCCUCAAAGGAGCCACAAAAUGUGCACCUUAUGUUCCAACGACAGAGUUCCAGAGAGUCAGCUUCGUGUUGGAUGUGCUGAUGCCUGAGGUGGUUUAACUCAACCAUCUAAUCUUAGUUACAUUGAUUUCAAUAAUUGUCUGUUUAUUCAGUCAUCAAAGCCUGUAUUAUAACUGUUAAAAGGGCAUUCCGCGAUUUAGUGAAUGGGUUAUGCUCGCCCCACCACUAAUUUGUAUUGUGUUGUAAAUAUGGGACCCCUUUUAACUGGAGGUUAUCUAUCUCUACCAGGCCAUUGUCCACACUCUUGUGGCAGUGGACAACCUCUCUCUAGCUGAGGCAAAGAGAAGAUUUAAUGCGGGACCAUUGUAUGAUGAAAGGUACAAAUGUCUGAAAUCAGUCUACCACUUUCUGCCUAACAUCCCUAACUGUGUUGAUAUUCAUGAUAUACCACGAGUUCUCAUGUCCGACCGAUUGUAUUUCUUAGCUCUCCUUUUCUCUGUCUCUUCUUUUCCCAAUUUAUUCUUUAGUGAAGCGCAAGAAUUUAAUAUUAUCAAGAGGCAGUAGAUCGAGGCCGAGCAUUAAUAUUUCUAUUUUAUUUUAUUUUUGUUUUGAUGUUUUUGUAUAUUAUGUAAAACCUCAAUCACAUUCUGUAAAAUGCUGA